AGAAAUUAAUAGGCACAACCCCAAGGCACAAGAUAUGCAGCCUCCUCAUUGCUUGUCUCUUGCCCACUCACACACAUAGAGUAGCAUGUUAUGGCACUUACACUAAUAAAGCCACUGCUAUCAAAGUUCUGGACUUGAUUUCCAGCAGUAUUAGCUCUGUUUUACCCUCAAGCUUCUGGGUUAGUGGGUUAUUGCUCACCAAAGAAGUUCUGGUUGGAAGAAGAGGUAAGAUAUCUCCAGAGCCGCUGAGAAGAAUGAGUAAGGUAAAACUGGUGGCAUUCCUGACUGAAUACCCUUCACUCACAGGAGGCAGUGUGGAACAGUGGGAAUGAGGAGUGCUAUGGGACUUUGUAUAUCUGGUCUGGAAGCCUGUUUCUGGUACGUACAGCUAGGUGAGUUGGGCAAAUUACUUAAACGGUCCAGAUCUCAAUUUUAUUAACUAUGAAAUCACGUAAUAAGAUCUAACUUGAAAGGUUGUUAGUAUCAAGGCUAAUAUAACCCUUUGGUUGUUAUAAUGAAUAAUAGAUAAGUAUUAUUCUUACUACUAUUUAUUUUUUGGAAAAAUCUAUAUUAUUAAUUUUUCGAUUCUAUGAGAACCAGUAAAGAACAUUUAUGAAUAGAAUUACUUGUGUAAGAGUUCAGCCUGCUGGGAAUCAUUUGUAAUCCUUUAUCCUUUAAACACUCUUAGUAGUACCAUGCCAACGUUAGCAUAAAAUCAUCAUUCUUCCACAUGAAUUUUUGGGCCAUUUUUGGCUCUUAUCCUUAACUGAACAGCAGAGAGGCCCUUAACCUGCCUUUUCUAAUGUCAUUAUUCUUCCUUAACAGGCUUUCCAGUUUGUUGUACCUACCUUAGCCAGACCGUAGGAACUUUUUAAUCCAUUUGAUGUCUUAGUAAGAUCUGAUGAUGAUCAUCCUAAAAAUCUGCCCUCUCUUGAUAACUGAGACAUUGCCUUGGCAUUUUACUGAAUUCUAUCAAUUCUACUUCUUUAUUUAAAGAUGGUGUUAUGAGCAUUUAAUGUAAAGAUCUUAUCGUAGUCACUGGCUCAGAAUAAUUGCUCAAAAACUGGCAUAUAUUACUAUUAUGACAUCAUCAUCAUUAUCAUCAUCACUUAAUUUCUUGGUUGGUUUUUCUUCUUCCUGACCUAUAGUAGUAAUGGCCUUCCAAGUAUCCAUUCUUGAUCUUUUAGUCUUUGUCCACUCCCUCCUUUUUAUGAAAAUCACCCACUCAAGUAAGUUGGACUAUCUUAUCUAACCUAACUCUCUAGCCUCAAAUACUUACUAAGGUUUCAGUUUUCAUUUCUAUCUGCUUAAAAGAUCUUUACACAAAUAGGAUAUUCUUUCACCAUCACAAAUGGAAUAUGUGCGCACUCACCUAGUUGCUCUUCCAAAGUGCUUUAUCUGCUUGCAUGCUUGCUUACCACCCCCAGCUAACUUGGCUAUCUUCGGGUAAUCCUGCUCCUAUCUCUGUCAAAAGACACCAAGACAGUAUUUUUCUUGCAUUUGUCUUUUCAUCUUUAGCGAAUCAAUACCAUUGUCUUCUAAUUGCCUCCUAAUGGAACCUUAAUCUGCCAUGAAACCUAAGUCCAAUUCUUCACUGAUACUCUUAUAAGAAUGAUUUCUAAUGUCUUUUUUUAAUUUGCUUGUUUGUUUCAGAGCUUACAAACCUCCCUUAUGCUGUUCAUUUUACAUUUAAGUAUAUCUAUGUAGUUUCCAGAUUAAUAAUGUCUGAAACAUUUAUCUAUCCCAACUUUUUCCCCCUACAACUACUCUGUAUUAAUGUAGUUUCAAUCAGUCUGGAUCCUACCGUGCCAGCUUAAAAUCAGAAUGAGUAACUAUUGAUUCUAGAACACUGGCCCAUGCUUUGACUCCUUAUGUGGAAAUUCUUCCACAUAUUCUCUUUACCUAUCUAUGUUUUGUGUUUCCUUCAAGACAGCUAAAUAUUCAUUGUUUUAUAAAGCUUUUCCUUGAGAGUAUGGUUAAUUUUGCCUCUCUCUUUUCUAAUUAUCACACCUUGUUAAGUACAACAUAGGUUCAUUGUAUGCUAUCUCUAAUUAUAGCAUCAUCUGGGGUAAAUGCUUUUAUGGCCUUAUAAAAUGUACUUUUGGUUACUCCCCAAAUAUUCUUAAUUAUCUCUCUCUUCUUUGUAAUUCUCUGUGCCAAAAUUCAGGCAUACCAAAGUUCAGGUUCUUUUAAUUAUUUUCAAGAACUAUCACCUCUGGCCUCUUCAUAUUCAGUAUUUGCUUUUCCUCGAAUCCAUCCUGAAUGCUAUUGACAAGUUUAUGUUUCCAAAGCUAAAAUCACGUCAUUUAAAAAACCUGUUUAUAACAAAAGCGACAUUCAUAGUGGUCUCUUACCUGUUUAGUAAAUAUUCCCUUUGGUUGUGAACCCUGGAUCUUUCUUUAUUGUCCUCCAAAUAUCUAAAAUAACUAUGCCAAUUGUCCCAAUCUCUAACUCCUGGAAUUCCAUUAUUCAAAAUCAUGUGUCAGCAGGCUUUUCUAGAUUUUUUAAAUUUUAUCCUUUAACAUUCUCUGCUUCUGGGAUUUGGUCUUUGAUUUUUCCUUAGUUACACUUCUUGUUUAGCCAUCCGAACUCUUAAAUCAGGAUCAAUUACAAUUGCCUCAUAAGAAUACUUGAUUUCCAAUAAUAUCCCACCUCAGUUCUUCCUAAAUUCUACUGAAGUAAUGAUUAUGCCAAAUAAGACCUUUUUGAUUCUCUUAUUUUAUUUCCCAUCCUGCUUGGCUUCAAUGCUUGUUUGAUUGUCUGUCUUUUGCAUCCUGUUGGGCCAUGAAAAACUCAGUCUAUGCUUUCGUCAUGAUCUAUUGCCACAGAAGAUGGAGAUGUACUGUUCAAACUAUGAGAAUUAAAUAUAUCAUCAUUAUCAUCAUUGCAUAUUUUCCACACAAAUGAAUUAUAUGAGUUCUCUUAAUACUCUAGGUAGCUGCAAUUAAAUAAUUUCAUCACUAGAAAACAUAUUAUAGAUCAACAUACCCAUUGUUACUUACAAUAAGGCAAUCUCUUUAAAAAUGUUUGUUGAGCUCCAGAUACUGUGCUAAGUAUUAAGAGCAUAAUGAUAAACAUGACAAAUUUCCCGUUGCUGAAGAGCUUUAUAUAGAGUGAAGGAGACAUAGAGCUAUUAUGCUAUAUGAUAACAUCAAAAUGCAUUCAAAAACAGGAAGGUUGAAGGAAAAGUCACGGAAAAGACAGACAACAGAUGAAGGAGAGAGGAGUAGAUGAAAUAUUGCUGUGAGUGUGACCAUGAAGGAUGGGAUCUCUUCAUUACGAUGACGUUUGCUGUGGAUGAUAAAAAAUAUAUAUUUUUAAAGUUCUCCUAAAAAUAAAGUUCUCCUAAAUUUUGUAUUUUAUCUUAUAAAAAUUUCUCUGCUAUGCUCAUAUGCUGUAUCCCCAUGCAUAUUUUGAAGAUAUAAUUCUAACUCCCCUCAUUUCAAUUAGAUUUGCUUCUUUUGAACACAUGAUAAGCUUUCAUUUUCAUAUUCUACUCGUUAAGUUCCUUCGUCAGCUUCUGAAAUUGAAAGCAUUCAUAAUUAUAAGCUUACUUUGUGGCUUAGAUGGCAAGGAUGGGCAUUUUUCAAAUUAAAAAAAUCAUCUGCCUGGAUAAAUAUCAAACCUAGAAUUCAAUCUCUAAAUUACAGGCUGUUUGCAAAUCGCUGCAUGCCUGUGUGUUCCUCUCUCUAACUAACACCUUUCAUGGAUGGCAUAUGUUUUCCUCUGAAAAUGAAAUAGAUAGAAUGGAUGUUUGAACCCACUGAAUGGAAUGAAUCUGUGAAGAUGGUAUGUUUCAUGGGUCAGGACUACCCAGAUAUUCUAGUGUUCAUUUGAGAUCUCAGUUACCUUCUUGAAUAAGUAAGUAGGUACUAAAGUGAAAUUUUGAGAUGAGAGUCAAAAUUUUGAGAUGAGAGUCACGCCAGCUGGCCUGGAUAUGAAUCCCAACUUUGCCUCUUACCAACGGUGUGAUUUUGUGCAAAAGAGUUAAACACUCUGCCACUAUAUAGUAUGCCUACCUAAUAGACUUUUAAGAUUUAAUGAGUUAGUAACACCUAUAUUCUGACUCCUAAUAAUAAUUUAAUACCUUCAAAAUACUUUUAUUGUGUUCACUUUUCAAGUUCCUGUUCACUAGAUUUAUUACUCAGAUUUUUCUUCCAUCAGUACAUAGGUAUCUGGAGCUAUAAAUAGUUUUCCUGAGUUUUUCUUAGUUCUUUCUUCCUGAGAAUUAACUGACACAUUUAGAGCAAUGAAUACAUCAAUAUUCCAUAGUUCUGUCAGUAAAAUUGGUUUAUUUUUACCUUCCACAGACCAUCUUAUGGCCUAUUUUCUUUCACUCUCUAAGUAAAAUGUUAACUUUUGCUUAAAGUCUAUUAACUUAUUUAUGAUAGUAGUUAUUAUUUACACUAGAGUCUUUAUUUAAAUCUCCUUAUUUCUCUCUCUUGAUGAAUUGAAUGAAUUGCCUGAAGGAGUGUAGGUUGUCUUCUCUGUAUGGUUCAUGUAGAUCAUAAGAAACUUUGACUGAAUAAAUUUAGAAGCAGCAAGGAAGUCACAUUUAGUCUUGCAUAACAAAUAACAAGUCAUGGUUCUGCAGUUGGAAACCCUUUGGCAUGGACCAGAUAACUUGCCAAAGGAAAAAAAUUAAGUUUCAUAUUUUCCUUGAAUGGCUCAGAAAAAAUAUAUAUCUAAGUACUGAAAUUCUGCUGUCAUAUAAACUUAGACAUAAAUGAAAAAAUGUACAUUUCACUUGGAACAUUCUAAGUUGUUAAUAUAUAAAAAGAUACUUAAAGUUUUUUCCUUAUUACUGCAGCUCACUAAAGCAUACCUAUCUCCUCUCUCCAAGAAAAAUAUUUUCAUCAAAAAAGGUUUAACAAAAAUGCUGUAGGAUGGCAGCAUUUUCACGUAAUGUGCCAACUCCAUCCCUGUCUUGUAAGCUCAGAUGUUUACAGUGCGGUAAUCAUAUUAAACCACAACUCAUAAAGUGAAAGAGCUAACGGAAAAUCUCACUUGUAUUUCUGAAACAAGCCAACUGUUUACACUUACAUUUUUAAAUU